rnacentral:rRNA from 1 species
UCUUCCUACGGGAGGCAGCAGUGAGGAAUAUUGGUCAAUGGUCGGGAGACUGAACCAGCCAAGCCGCGUGAGGGAGGUACAGAGUAUCGUAAACCUCUUUUGUCAGGGAACAAAGGCGGGGACGUGUCCCCGGAUGAGUGUACCUGAAGAAAAAGCAUCGGCUAACUCCGUGCCAGCAGCCGCGGUAAUACGGAGGAUGCGAGCGUUAUCCGGAUUUAUUGGGUUUAAAGGGUGCGUAGGCGGACUGUUAAGUCAGCGGUAAAAGCCCGGGGCUCAACCCCGGCGAGCCGUUGAAACUGGCUGUC